rnacentral:lncRNA from 1 species
GUCUGAUUGGUAGUACACUCAUCAGCAAAAAUAGGUUUGCCAAGAACACUGGCAAUCCUACUCAAAGACCUAUUACCCCAGCAUGACAUAGGGAGCCUAGGAAACUUUACCCAUAGAGGAAUGUCAUUAGGGAAAGCAGCAGUGAAGUCGAAAUCAGGAGUCCAUUGCUUCAAAACCAUAGGUCUGUUAGCAAUGGUAUAUGGACCAACACAUAUGACCUCCUUAGCA